UGCAGUGACCAGGAUUCAAACCUGGGUUAUCACAGCCACAAUGCAAUGUCCCUAACUACUAGACGAUGAUCACAGC